rnacentral:rRNA from 1 species
CGAAAGUCGACGUAUAGGGUGUGACGCCUGCCCGGUGCUGGAAGAUUAAAUGAUGGGGUGCAAGCUCUUGACUGAAGUCCCAGUAAACGGCGGCCGUAACUAUAACGGUCCUAAGGUAGCGAAAUUCCUUGUCGGGUAAGUUCCGACCUGCACGAAUGGCGUAACGACUUCCCCACUGUCUCCAGCAUCGACUCAGCGAAAUUGAAGUCCCCGUGAAGAUGCGGGGUUCCCGCGGUCAGACGGAAAGACCCCGUGCACCUUUACUGCAACUUCAGAGUGGCAUUAGGAAAGAAUUGUGUAGAAUAGGUGGGAGGCUUUGAAACUUGGGCGCCAGUCCGAGUGGAGCCAUAAUGUGAAAUACCACCCUAUUGUUUUCUGGUGUCUAACCUAGAUCCGUUAUCCGGAUCAGGGACCCUCUGUGGUGGGUAGUUUGACUGGGGCGGUCUCCUCCUAAAGAGUAACGGAGGAGUACGAAGGUGCGCUCAGACCGGUCGGAAAUCGGUCGUAGAGUAUAAAGGCAAAAGCGCGCUUGACUGCGAGACAGACACGUCGAGCAGGUACGAAAGUAGGUCAUAGUGAUCCGGUGGUUCUGAAUGGAAGGGCCAUCGCUCAACGGAUAAAAGGUACUCCGGGGAUAACAGGCUGAUACCGCCCAAGAGUUCAUAUCGACGGCGGUGUUUGGCACCUCGAUGUCGGCUCAUCACAUCCUGGGGCUGAAGCCGGUCCCAAGGGUAUGGCUGUUCGCCAUUUAAAGUGGUACGCGAGCUGGGUUUAGAACGUCGUGAGACAGUUCGGUCCCUAUCUGCCGUGGACGUUUGAGAUUUGAGAGGGGCUGCUCCUAGUACGAGAGGACCGGAGUGGACG